rfam:Populus trichocarpa isolate Nisqually-1 chromosome 4, whole genome shotgun sequence.
UUACCGGCGGUCUCUAAUUCGCUUGGUGCAGGUCGGGAACUGAUUCGGCGAUUUGAUUGCCAGAUGGCUAAACACGAUUGGCUGUGAGGCAAAUUAUAAAAAGAAAGAGAAUUGGAUCCCGCCUUGCAUCAACUGAAUCGGAGACCGCGGUGAAG